rnacentral:rRNA from 1 species
GAUGAACGCUGGCGGCGUGCCUAAUACAUGCAAGUCGAGCGAAUGGAUUAAGAGCUUGCUCUUAUGAAGUUAGCGGCGGACGGGUGAGUAACACGUGGGUAACCUGCCCAUAAGACUGGGAUAACUCCGGGAAACCGGGGCUAAUACCGGAUAACAUUUUGAACCGCAUGGUUCGAAAUUGAAAGGCGGCUUCGGCUGCCACUUAUGGAGGGACCCGCGUCGCAUUAGCGAGUUGGUGAGGUAACGGCUCACCAAGGCAACGAUGCGUAGCCGACCUGAGAGGGUGAUCGGCCACACUGGGACUGAGACACGGCCCAGACUCCUACGGGAGGCAGCAGUAGGGAAUCUUCCGCAAUGGACGAAAGUCUGACGGAGCAACGCCGCGUGAGUGAUGAAGGCUUUCGGGUCGUAAAACUCUGUUGUUAGGGAAGAACAAGUGCUAGUUGAAUAAGCUGGCACCUUGACGGUACCUAACCAGAAAGCCACGGCUAACUACGUGCCAGCCGCCGCGGUAA